CAGGUUUAUUGUAUCAACAGACACAAAGCUACACGUCAGCUGUUUAUCAACUAAAGUUAGUCCGAGUUUAAAUGGUCAUCAGUUGAACGGGUUAAUGAAUCCUGACCUGAGAGUCUCCAGUGUGCAGUGUGGACUCUUCAGUCCAUCAGAGAUCAGCUUCCCUCCUGAAUCCU